CCUACGGGAGGCAGCAGUGAGGAAUAUUGGUCAAUGGCCGGAAGGCUGAACCAGCCAUGCCGCGUGAAGGUCAGUGCCCUAUGGGCGUUAAACUUCUUUUGUCCGGGAGCAAUAAUGCUCACGUUUGUCCAGACUAGAUUACCGUUCCAAUCAGCAUCGGCUCACUCCGUGCCAGCAGCCGCGGUCACACGGGGGCUGCAAGCGUUAUCCUGAUUUGUUUGGUUUAAAGGGUGCGUUGGCUGUGAGGUAAGUCAGCGGUGAAAUGCCCCCGCUCAACGGGGUGAAGUGCCAUUGAUACUGGCAUGCUGGAGUGCGGAUGAGGUGGGAGGAAUGUGUGGUGUAGCGGUGAAAUGCAUAGAUAUCACGCAGAACACCGAUUGCGAAGGCAUCUCACGGGUCCGCGAUUGACGCUGAGGCACGAAAGCGUGGGUAUCAAACAGGAUUAGAUACCCUUGUAGUC
rnacentral:rRNA from 1 species